CCCAGGACGCCAUCAUCUGCGGUCCUUGACACACAGGCCAUAUAUGGCUUGACACCAAGUCCUGGAUGUCAGUGACUGGGACCUUGGCCAGCGGCCACUGGACUCCUAAGAUGUGGCAAACAAGAUGACCUCCUCUGGAGACGGAUCCCUCUCCAUGGUGUGUGCAAAGCAAGGACCCCAGACGUUGUGAUGCACCCCUGAGGUUUGCACUGGCGACUUCUCAUGAGCGGGCUGCCAGCCUUCCCUUCCUAGUCUGUCCUCCUCUGGAAGCUCCGCUGAAAGCUGCUCACGCUGGUGGACCCCAUGGCCUUUGAGAAACAGGCGAUGUGGCUUCCAGCUCAGAGCAACACGCCUGUCCCCGCAGUCUGGGAAGCUGACGGGGUGGGGGCGGGUCUCUAGCGCCCCGGACCUGGGCUUUAUUUUCCUCCCUAGCACUUCUCUUGUCAGGUGCUCAAUCCUGUGUCGUCCUGUGUUUCUGCCCUGUUUCCUGCAGUUCAAACACCCCCCCCCCAUGUGUGUGUCACCCAACACAAAUGAACACCCAAAGCCUCAUCUUUCUCCCAAGGAGCGGCAGGUGGUUUUGAACUGCUGACCUCCCCACUGGCAGCCCAAUGUGUAACCGCAACACUACCAGGCACACUUACCCUUCAGGUCCCCACCGGGGAGGGCUCUCACCCCUCCUCCCCUCCAACCUGCUCCCCCCCCCCCAUGUUUAUUUUCAUCUCAA